rnacentral:rRNA from 1 species
GUCGAACGAACUCUGGUAUUGAUUGGUGCUUGCAUCAUGAUUUACAUUUGAGUGAGUGGCGAACUGGUGAGUAACACGUGGGAAACCUGCCCAGAAGCGGGGGAUAACACCUGGAAACAGAUGCUAAUACCGCAUAACAACUUGGACCGCAUGGUCCGAGCUUGAAAGAUGGCUUCGGCUAUCACUUUUGGAUGGUCCCGCGGCGUAUUAGCUAGAUGGUGGGGUAACGGCUCACCAUGGCAAUGAUACGUAGCCGACCUGAGAGGGUAAUCGGCCACAUUGGGACUGAGACACGGCCCAAACUCCUACGGGAGGCAGCAGUAGGGAAUCUUCCACAAUGGACGAAAGUCUGAUGGAGCAACGCCGCGUGAGUGAAGAAGGGUUUCGGCUCGUAAAACUCUGUUGUUAAAGAAGAACAUAUCUGAGAGUAACUGUUCAGGUAUUGACGGUAUUUAACCAGAAAGCCACGGCUAACUACGUGCCAGCAGCCGCGGUAAUACGUAGGUGGCAAGCGUUGUCCGGAUUUAUUGGGCGUAAAGCGAGCGCAGGCGGUUUUUUAAGUCUGAUGUGAAAGCCUUCGGCUCAACCGAAGAAGUGCAUCGGAAACUGGGAAACUUGAGUGCAGAAGAGGACAGUGGAACUCCAUGUGUAGCGGUGAAAUGCGUAGAUAUAUGGAAGAACACCAGUGGCGAAGGCGGCUGUCUGGUCUGUAACUGACGCUGAGGCUCGAAAGUAUGGGUAGCAAACAGGAUUAGAUACCCUGGUAGUCCAUACCGUAAACGAUGAAUGCUAAGUGUUGGAGGGUUUCCGCCCUUCAGUGCUGCAGCUAACGCAUUAAGCAUUCCGCCUGGGGAGUACGGCCGCAAGGCUGAAACUCAAAGGAAUUGACGGGGGCCCGCACAAGCGGUGGAGCAUGUGGUUUAAUUCGAAGCUACGCGAAGAACCUUACCAGGUCUUGACAUACUAUGCAAAUCUAAGAGAUUAGACGUUCCCUUCGGGGACAUGGAUACAGGUGGUGCAUGGUUGUCGUCAGCUCGUGUCGUGAGAUGUUGGGUUAAGUCCCGCAACGAGCGCAACCCUUAUUAUCAGUUGCCAGCAUUAAGUUGGGCACUCUGGUGAGACUGCCGGUGACAAACCGGAGGAAGGUGGGGAUGACGUCAAAUCAUCAUGCCCCUUAUGACCUGGGCUACACACGUGCUACAAUGGAUGGUACAACGAGUUGCGAACUCGCGAGAGUAAGCUAAUCUCUUAAAGCCAUUCUCAGUUCGGAUUGUAGGCUGCAACUCGCCUACAUGAAGUCGGAAUCGCUAGUAAUCGCGGAUCAGCAUGCCGCGGUGAAUACGUUCCCGGGCCUUGUACACACCGCCCGUCACACCAUGAGAGUUUGUAACACCCAAAGUCGGUGGGGUAACCUUUUA